ACACACAUCAUCUGGGGAUUGUGUUAAAAUGCAGAUUCUUAUACAGUAGGUCUGGGCUGGAGACUGAGAUUCUACAUUUCUAACCAGCUCCCAGAUGAUAAUGAU
rnacentral:pre_miRNA from 1 species